CAAUAGCGUAUAUUAAAGUUGUUGCAGUUAAAAAGCUCGUAGUUGGAUUUCUGGUUGAAGCGACCGGUCGGGCGUUGAUUCGUCUGCACUGGAGUCGGUUUUGGCCAUCCUCUAGGAAAGUGCGUCUGGUAUUAAGUUGUCGGGCGUAUGAUCCUGGUCUUUUACUGUGAAAAAUUAGAGUGUUCAAAGCAGGCUUACGCUUGAAUACAUUAGCAUGGAAUAAUGGAAUAGGACUUUGGUUCUAUUUUGUUGGUUUCUAGAACUGAAGUAAUGAUUAAUAGGGAUAGUUGGGGGCAUUAGUAUUUAAUUGUCAGAGGUGAAAUUCUUGGAUUUAUGAAAGACUAACUUCUGCGAAAGCAUUUGCCAAGGAUGUUUUCAUUAAUCAAGAACGAAAGUUAGGGGAUCGAAGACGAUCAGAUACCAU
rnacentral:rRNA from 1 species